rnacentral:rRNA from 1 species
CACGAAGUGAGUGGCGAACGGGUGAGUAACACGUGGGUAACCUGCCCAGAAGUAGGGGAUAACACCUGGAAACAGAUGCUAAUACCGUAUAACAGAGAAAACCGCAUGGUUUUCUUUUAAAAGAUGGCUCUGCUAUCACUUCUGGAUGGACCCGCGGCGUAUUAGCUAGUUGGUGAGGUAAAGGCUCACCAAGGCAGUGAUACGUAGCCGACCUGAGAGGGUAAUCGGCCACAUUGGGACUGAGACACGGCCCAGACUCCUACGGGAGGCAGCAGUAGGGAAUCUUCCACAAUGGACGCAAGUCUGAUGGAGCAACGCCGCGUGAGUGAAGAAGGGUUUCGGCUCGUAAAGCUCUGUUGUUAAAGAAGAACGUGGGUAAGAGUAACUGUUUACCCAGUGACGGUAUUUAACCAGAAAGCCACGGCUAACUACGUGCCAGCAGCCGCGGUAAUACGUAGGUGGCAAGCGUUAUCCGG